rnacentral:rRNA from 1 species
GAUGAACGCUAGCGAUAGGCUUAACACAUGCAAGUCGAGGGGCAGCAUGGUCUUAGCUUGCUAAGACUGAUGGCGACCGGCGCACGGGUGCGUAACGCGUAUGCAACUUGCCUCACAGAGGGGGAUAACCCGUCGAAAGACGGACUAAUACCGCGUACACUUGGGAUAGGGCAUCCUGACCCAAGGAAAUGAAAUUCGCUGUGAGAUAGGCAUGCGUCCCAUUAGCUAGUUGGUGAGGUAACGGCUCACCAAGGCGACGAUGGGUAGGGGAACUGAGAGGUUGAACCCCAACACUGGUACUGAGACACGGACCAGACUCCUACGGGAGGCAGCAGUGAGGAAUAUUGGUCAAUGGGCGAGAGCCUGAACCAGCCAAGUCGCGUGAAGGAUGACUGUCUUAUGGAUUGUAAACUUCUUUUAUACGGGAAUAACAAGAGUCACGUGUGGCUCCCUGCAUGUACCGUAUGAAUAAGCAUCGGCUAACUCCGUG